rnacentral:lncRNA from 1 species
UCGUCGCCACCGCCACCAACAUCACCUACGCUACAACUGUUUGCAAUCACCAUAACCAAUAUCGCUAAAUCCACCACCACAUCACAUCACCAUUGCCAAAAUCCACCCCAAUAUCGCCAGAUCCACCUGCACUACGACAAACAAAUAACACCUCAAAAAUACGAUCAAAACCAACAAACUACAACCGCCACAACCAAUAAGCAUCCUUUCUCUUCUACGACUCCGAUUUGCAGCAAUUACCCUAGCUCUCUCUUCUCCGGUGGAUCGACACAACCAUCUCAACCACAACCACCCUUCACUUCUUUGACUUUGAUUUGCAGCGCCCCACGAUCUAUAGUACCCCUUGAUCUACAGCGGUAAGCAGCAUCUCGCUACCAUGCAACGAUUGUAGCAAAGAGAGAGAUAGGAUAUCAACGGUAAUGUUGCGUGCAGUGGCUUCUCGUGCAAUUGAGAGAAAGAGAGACUGGAGUGCAAACCAUCCGAUUUUCAUAGCGAACUUGAUGCUCUAUUGCGAAGCUUGUCUAUUAGAGCAUCUACAGAAGGAAUAGAGGAAGUGGCUAAGUGGCGUGCUUC